AGAAUCAACGCUGGCGGCGUGCCUAACACAUGCAAGUCGAACGAGAAAGGGUAGCAAUACCUGAGUAAAGUGGCGCACGGGUGAGUAACACGUGACUAACCUACCUUUUAGUGGGGGAUAACCUAGGGAAACCUGGGCUAAUACCGCAUAAUACCUACGGGUCAAAGCAGCAAUGCGCUGAAUGAGGGGGUCGCGGUCGAUUAGUUAGUUGGCAGGGUAAUGGCCUACCAAGACUGUGAUCGAUA
rnacentral:rRNA from 1 species